UGGGGAAUUUUGGACAAUGGGCGAAAGCCUGAUCCAGCAAUGCCGCGUGUGUGAAGAAGGCCUUCGGGUUGUAAAGCACUUUUGUCCGGAAAGAAAUCCUUGGCUCUAAUACAGUCGGGGGAUGACGGUACCGGAAGAAUAAGCACCGGCUAACUACGUGCCAGCAGCCGCGUAAUACGUAGGGUGCAAGCGUUAAUCGGAAUUACUGGGCGUAAAGCGUGCGCAGGCGGUUUGCUAAGACCGAUGUGAAAUCCCCGGGCUCAACCUGGGAACUGCAUUGGUGACUGGCAGGCUAGAGUAUGGCAGAGGGGGGUAGAAUUCCACGUGUAGCAGUGAAAUGCGUAGAGAUGUGGAGGAAUACCGAUGGCGAAGGCAGCCCCCUGGGCCAAUACUGACGCUCAUGCACGAAAGCGUGGGGAGCAAACAGGAUUAGUACCCUGGUAGUCCACGCCCUAAACGAUGUCAACUAGUUGUUGGGGAUUCAUUUCCUUAGUAACGUAGCUAACGCGUGAAGUUGACCGCCUGGGGAGUACGGUCGCAAGAUUAAAACUCAAAU
rnacentral:rRNA from 1 species